AUUGAACGCUGGCGGCAGGCUUAACACAUGCAAGUCGAACGGUAACAUAAAGAAGCUUGCUUCUUUGAUGACGAGUGGCGGACGGGUGAGUAAUGCUUGGGAAUCUAGCUUAUGGAGGGGGAUAACUACGGGAAACUGUAGCUAAUACCGCGUAGAAUCGAGAGAUGAAAGUGUGGGACCUUCGGGCCACAUGCCAUAGGAUGAGCCCAAGUGGGAUUAGGUAGUUGGUGAGGUAAAGGCUCACCAAGCCGACGAUCUCUAGCUGGUCUGAGAGGAUGACCAGCCACACUGGGACUGAGACACGGCCCAGACUCCUACGGGAGGCAGCAGUGGGGAAUAUUGCGCAAUGGGGGCAACCCUGACGCAGCCAUGCCGCGUGAAUGAAGAAGGCCUUCGGGUUGUAAAGUUCUUUCGGUAGCGAGGAAGGCAUUUAGUUUAAUAAACUAGGUGAUUGACGUUAACUACAGAAGAAGCACCGGCUAACUCCGUGCCAGCAGCCGCGGUAAUACGGAGGGUGCGAGCGUUAAUCGGAAUAACUGGGCGUAAAGGGCACGCAGGCGGUGACUUAAGUGAGGUGUGAAAGCCCCGGGCUUAACCUGGGAAUUGCAUUUCAUACUGGGUCGCUAGAGUACUUUAGGGAGGGGUAAAAUUCCACGUGUAGCGGUGAAAUGCGUAGAGAUGUGGAGGAAUACCGAAGGCGAAGGCAGCCCCUUGGGAAUGUACUGACGCUCAUGUGCGAAAGCGUGGGGAGCAAACAGG
rnacentral:rRNA from 1 species